CCCUUUAGACUCCCUGGUGCAAUGUGGCUGAUUUACUGUCAGGCAUUCCCAUCUUCUUUCCCCUGAUAAGACUAUAAAGUGCUGGCAAGCAGAGGUCAAAGAGCACAGUUUGGAUUCCCCACUGUGCAGCACAGGAUUCCCCAUCUAGUCAGCUUUCCACAAACUACUCGGCCAUUCAAUACAGUGGUCCACCCCACUGAGCACCCCCUGAUUUUCUGACCUGGCAGAAGACACAGGUUCUCAGGCCUGCACUCAAAACACCGACGGACCCCACGGGAUUCUAGGUUCUCAAAAAGAAAACACUAUGUUAGGCACUCACUCACCUGGAAUCUCAGCACACUAUGGAAGCAGAGUGACUGCGGCUGGCUGGGGACCCAAGAUCUCUGUUGUGAGGACAUACAUAAAGCCAACUCAUGAGAAAGCCGCAAACAAAGUGUCCUGGGGCCAAAGGAGCCAGGAGGAUGAGAGAAGAUCACUCAUUGCACUUACGGAUGCUCACGGAGGACACCUGCACUCCGGGCCACUCACUGGGCAGUAGGUCUGGCAACUGAGCCUGAUCCUGAAUGGCCAAAGAACUGGACCCUGCCAGCAACAGGCACAGAGCUGCUAUGAGAGACUCCGAGUAAGACCAAAUUUGUUCUCCAGGAAGGGAAUGCUGAAGACCCAGAGGAACCUGGAGGCAAGAAAGUGGCUGGGAGGCCAUUGUAUCUACCACAGUGACAAAAGGGUACAUUGGAAUGGUGAGCUUUGAUAGAGAAAAGUUCUGGAGACGUAUUGAGGGUAGUACCACGCAUUUUGUGGCCCAUUAGGCAUUUGGUCCAGGGGCUUAAAAAUGAAAGACCUAGCCAUGUUGAUUGAUACGUUUACUGCCUGUUCUCAUGUCUUGAAGCAUAAAAAAAAAAUGAAAGCAGAGCCUGCUGGUUCACAGGAAGAAUUAAACGAUGAGGAAGGAAAAGGGG
ensembl:processed_transcript 1700120O09Rik RIKEN cDNA 1700120O09 gene